UAGGGAAUUUUCGUCAAUGGGCGCAAGCCUGAACGAGCAAUGCCGCGUGAGUGAGGAAGGUCUUCGGACUGUAAAGCUCUGUUGCCGGGGAAAAAGGGGAAAUGCAGGGAAUGGCAUUUCAUGGAUGGUACCCGGCCAGAAAGCCACGGCUAACUACGUGCCAGCAGCCGUGGUAAUCUCUGUGU
rnacentral:rRNA from 1 species